UACGAAGGGUACAAACGUUGCUCGGAAUUACUGGGCGUAAAGCGUGCGCAGGCGGUGGAUGUGAAGACCGAUGUGAAAUCCCCGGGCUUAACCUGGGAACUGCAUUUGUGACUGCAUCGCUGGAGUGCGGCAGAGGGGGAUGGAAUCCGCGUGUAGCAGUGAAAUGCGUAGAUAUGCGGAGGAACACCGAUGGCGAAGGCAAUCCCCUGGGCCUGCACUGACGCUCAUGCACGAAAGCGUGGGGAGCAAACAGG
rnacentral:rRNA from 1 species